ACAGCCUUUAUAAUACCCUGCAGCAACCAGGUCAGAAAUAAACAGGGAAGCUGAUGGCACUCACUUUAUUUACUCCAGCGACCAAGGCUGGAUCAAACCAUCCAUAUGUCCACCAGGCAAAGGUUUGAUGUGAGCUUGUUAAAUUGGAGCCUCCUAUGGAAGGAAUGACAACAGAGCUGAGUGAAUCAAAACUCUCUUCCCCACGAAGCGCCUCAAUGGUUAAAGGUACUCCUAACAGCUAUAGUUUAUGGCAGGCAAGGAUGUAGUAUCCAAGGAGGGACUUGCAGAAUCCUAAUUCUGAGUGACCAGUGACAACAAUAAUCCCCAUUUCUCAUAAGGUUGGAUGAGGUGGUCCACCCCUGUAAUUUCAGCAUUUU